rnacentral:rRNA from 1 species
GAUGAACGCUGGCGGCGUGCCUAACACAUGCAAGUCGUACGAGCUCGAUCUUCGGAACGGGUUAAGUGGCGCACGGGUGAGUAACACGUAGGUGACCUACCCCAGAGUGGGGGAUAACUUCUCGAAAGAGAGGCUAAUACCGCAUACACUCGGUCAUUCAUUUGGCCGAGCAAAGCUCCGGCGCUUUGGGACGGGCCUGCGUCCGAUUAGCUAGUUGGUAGGGUAAUGGCUUACCAAGGCUUUGAUCGGUAGCUGGUCUGAGAGGACGAUCAGCCACACUGGCACUGACACACGGGCCAGACUCCUACGGGAGGCAGCAGUGAGGAAUAUUGGGCAAUGGGCGAAAGCCUGACCCAGCAACGCCGACGUGAGGGAUGAAGGCCUUCGGGUUGUAAACCUCUUUUACUGGGAGAAGAGACGAAGGACGGUAUCCCAGGAAUAAGUACUCGG